GCAUGUGAAGGCAUUCUGACUGAAACAUCUGUCAACUCAUUGAUCACCACGGUUGAUUUGGUGGAUCGCUGGCUAGACAGAGAUCCCAUUCCUUUUUCAAUGCUUCACAUGUUUCCUUCCUGAAGCUGAGCACUUCGUUGAAGAAGAUGGUAUUCCCCAAUAAAGAAGGAUCAUUCUUCAAUCAAGGGUAUUCAAGUAGUUGGACUUCCCUGCUGGAACUGCCAAACAUGAUCUCAAGAAGUAGCAGGAUUAUUUUGUUCCUGAUCUUACAGAAUAGAUCAUCCACAAAAAAAGAAUCAAUAAGAAAACAGCUGACUU
rnacentral:snRNA from 1 species